rnacentral:rRNA from 1 species
CAGUCGCCACGGUAACACGUAGGUGGCAAGCGUUGCCCGGAAUUAUUGGGCGUAAAGGGCUCGCAGGCGGUUUCUUAAGUCUGAUGUGAAAGCCCCCGGCUCAACCGGGGAAGGUCAUUGGAAACUGGGAAACUUGAGUGCAGAAGAGGAGAGUGGAAUUCCACGUGUAGCGGUGAAAUGCGUAGAGAUGUGGAGGAACACCAGUGGCGAAGGCGACUCUCUGGUCUGUAACUGACGCUGAGGAGCGAAAGCGUGGGGAGCGAACAGGAUUAGAGACCCCUGUAGUCCCUGUCUCUUAUAA